CUACGAAGGGGGCUAGCGUUGUUCGGAAUUACUGGGCGUAAAGCGCGCGUAGGCGGACUGAUCAGUUGGGGGUGAAAUCCCAGGGCUUAACCCUGGAACUGCCUCCAAUACUGUCAGUCUUGAGUUCGAGAGAGGUGAGUGGAAUUCCUAGUGUAGAGGUGAAAUUCGUAGAUAUUAGGAAGAACACCAGUGGCGAAGGCGGCUCACUGGCCCGAUACUGACGCUGAGGCGCGAAAGCGUGGGGAGCAAACAGGAGUAGAAACCCUAGUAGUCC
rnacentral:rRNA from 1 species